GAUCUCGAAAGCCUGUCCCAGUUCGGACUGGAGUCUGCAACCCGACUCCACGAAGUUGGAUUCGCUAGUAAUCGCGCAUCAGCCAUGGCGCGGUGAAUACGUUCCCGGGCCUUGUACACACCGCCCGUCAAGCCAUGGGAGCCGGGGGCGCCUGAAGUCCGGGACCGCGAGGACCGGCCUAGGGCGAAACUGGUAACUGGGGCUAAGUCGUAACAAGGUACC
rnacentral:rRNA from 1 species